CUUCCAAUUUAUUGCGGUUUUGAGUUAAAUGGUAAUAAUAGUUCUCCAAAACUUCUGGUUCUUGGCAUACACUACAAAGGUCCUGCAAUAAACAAAAACAACAAAUAAACGUAAAACUAAGAAACUUGACUAACAGUCAAUUAGCGCAUAAAACUUCAAUGUACAAUCGUAUUCCCCGACAACGGUGCUAUUUUUGAUAACGCUCAAACUACACCACUCAAAUGAGAAUGUAAGCGAUUGUGUCAAUACAUAACCCAACUAGGUUGGGUUCGAAUCCCAUAGGGAAUAUGGUGUGAACUUAAGUUUUUUGCGAUUUAAUCAAUUGAUAGUUGGAUGUUUCCUGAAAUGGAGGUUUUGAGAUUUGGCAAAUAAUUGUUGGUCACUUUAGUUUUAGUGUUUGUAAUCAAGAUUUUAUGGAAAAUUAGAAUUAUGUUCACUAUGGGUUUUGGUACUUGAAAGAUGCUAAUAGUGAUUCAAGAUUCUCACGGUAGGUAGGAUAACAUAUUAUCUUUAUCGAAGUUACGCCUAAAUGUCUCUCGACCUACAUAAGCAUUUAAUUACCUAAUCCUCUCAGACUUAGGGAAUUUAUAUUCACAGACCAGACUUUACCUUAGGUUAAUCAACCAUGUUACAACAUCAAUUAUUAAAUGGAAGUUUAGUGCUUCCAAGUCCUUGUCAAUAAUUCACUUCCUACUGUAUUUGAUUUCUUAUCUCAAGCAAAUCAAAGAAGGUACUAUCUAUCGUUUGCAACCAAUAGACAAUGAUUAAAAUCUCAGAAUUAUCAAGGAGUCAUAUUACCUUUAGAAUCUUAAACACUUAGCAUAUUACCAAGACUUAACCCAUAGAUCCCAUAAUUCAGGUUAAAGGGGUUUAGCCACUCAUGAUGUAAUAAUUGAAAUAACUAGUUGUACUCAUAAUUUGAAAGAUGAACUUACCACUAGAUGAAUAAUAAAUAGUGAUUCUUAGAUUAGAUCACAAUAGAAAUCCCAAAAUAUUGAUGAAAAUCUCUACAAAGUUAAUUACUUUUCAAGCCAAGAAACUAGAGAGACAAAUAGCAAAAUACGUAUAUCCCAAAAAUAGGUUUUGAACUCCUUAGAAAACCCUAAACUAUGCUUUAAAUUGUUCAUCCCAAAUAACAAAACAAAAUUACAGAGUUUAAUAAUUCCUUGAAUUAGGCGACGAUAUUCGUAACACCUUAUCAGGAGUCUGACGGCUUAUCACAAAUGUCGUUAGCUCCCUCUUCAGUUUUAGCACUUUCUUCUUAAGUUUGACAAUCAAUCUUGAUGACUUAUUAGAAGUGUGACGACAUAUCAAACAAUGUCGUCACUUCUCCACCUCAGCUCACAUAUUCUGCCUAAGGCUGACGGCGACUCUAACAACUUAUUAACUUUUUGACAACUUCUCAGGAAAUAUUGUCACAACUUUUAGCUGAGGUCCAUUCUCUGUCUAAGGCUGACAGUAUAUCUGAUAACUUAUCACAGGGCUGACGACUUACCAGGAAUGUUGUCAGCCACACUUCUCUUCUAUUUGCUUCAGAUUUCAACUCUUUUGCUUCCAUCCUUGUUGGUUCUCUUGUAUCUUAGCUUCUACUGCAAAAUCAAAGAUAAAACAAUCAAAAACAACAAAAGUUGCUUAAGACUUUUCAAUUAUUCUCAGUUAAAAGUGUCAAAUGUGUUAGCAUCUGCUCACACAUCAAUUACCUCAUGCAUAUAUUCUUCUGUUUCUUUGUAAUAAAUGUCCAAAUGCUGCUGAUACUGAUAAAAUUAUUUCAGCUAAAUUUCCUAAUAAAUUAGUUGAUCCAGUUUAUUAUGCGGCUGUUACAAAUUUCAUGAUGCAUGAUCCAUGUGGUUCUGUAAUGAAAUCUUCUCCUUGGUCCAUGUGGUUCUGUAAUGAAACCUUCUCCUUGCAUGCAAAAUGACAAAUGUACAAAACACUUUCCAAAAAAGUAUGUUGACUCUACUUCGAUAGAUAAAGAAGUAUAUCCUAUCUAGAGAAGAAGGGAUGAUGGUAGAUCUACAAAGAGAGCAGGUAUUGAUUUGGAUAAUAGAUAUGUUGUGCCACACAAUAGAUUUUUAUUAUUGAAAUACGGUGUACAUAUUAAUGUGGAAUGGUGUAAUCAAUCAAGGUCCAUUAAAUACUUAUUUAAGUAUGUUAAUAAAGUACAUGAUCGUGUCACUGUUGCUUUUUCUCAAAGUGAAAAUAUUGAUGACUCAAGAGUCGUUGAUGAAAUAAAUAUGUAUUGUGAUUUUCGGUACAUAUCACCAAAUAAAGCAACUUGGAGAAUUUUUAAAUUCCCAAUCCAUCGCAGAGAACCACCUAUAGAAAGGUUAUCUUUUCUUCUAGAAGGCAAUCAAAAUGUCAUUUUUUUAGAUGAUGAUCCCAUUGAUAUAGUAGUCAACUAACUAUCUGUAAAAAAAUCAAUAUUUUUAAAGUGGUUUGAGGAAAAUAAUGAGUUUCCUAAAGUAAGAGAGCUAACGUAUGCAGAAUUCCCUCUAAAGUUUGUAUGGAAGCAAGAUUCAAAGAAAUGGGAAAAAAGAAAAACUUUCGCUUUUUCUAUUGGUAGAAUUUUCUUUGUUCCACCGGGAUCUGGUGAGCAAUAUUAUCUUAGACUGUUGUUGAAUGUAAUUAAAGGUCCAACAUCCUAUGAUGGUUUAAGAAAUAUCAAUGGUUAUGUUCAUAAGACUUUUAGAGAUGCGAGUUAUGAUCUAGGUUUAUUAGACGAUGACAAAGAAUAUGUGGAUGCUAUAGUUGAAGCAAGUAAUUGGGGAAUGUCAUCAUAUUUAAGACAAUUAUUUGCUAUGCUACUUCUAUCAAAUUCAAUAUCAUGUCCAGAAAUUGUUUGGCAAGCAAAUUGGCAUUUACUGUUAGAAGAUAUCUUUAAUGAAGAAAGAAGAGUUUUGGAUAACCUAGGUACUUAAAUAAUGCUUUUAAUUUUCUUCAAAUUGACAUAUACAGAUAAUAUAUUUUAUUUCAUUAACUAAGCUGUAAUAAUAAAUUAUAGUAUACACUUACGCAUUAUCUAAUUAAUGAUUUCAUUUAUCAUAUAUAAUCCUAAACUAUUUUUAAACAUAACUUUUAUAUUUAUUGUACAAAAUUUUAAUCCAUGUUUUAUAUAUCCUCAGAAGCAGUCCUGACUGAUGAUGAUCUGAAAAAUCGUUGCUUGCAAAAAAUAGAAAAUUUUCAGAAAAGUUGUGGAAGAAGUUUUCUUGAUUUUCCAACAAUGUCGAUGCCUAUUUAUAAUGAGGAAGAGGUUAACAACAACAACAGAUUGAUUCGUGAUCAAAUGCGUUAUAAUAGAUAUGCUUUGGCAUUGGAACAUCAACAAUUGGUUGAGAAUUUGACAAAUGAGCAAUAGUCAGUGUAUAAAAAGAUAAUUAUAGCUAUCACUGAAAACAAGGGUGACUUUUUCUUUUUAUAUGGUUAUGGCGGAAAAGGUAAAACAUUUAUUUGGAAGACUUUGUCUACUUUCAUAGGAUCAAAAGGAUAUAUUGUGUUAACAGUUACAUCUAGCGGAAUUACAUCACUUUUGUUACCAGGUGGUAGAACAACUCAUUUAAGAUUUGUAAUUUUGUUAAAUGUAACUAAAGAUUCAACAUGUAAUAUCAAGAAAGGUACUCUUUUAGCUAAUUUAAUUGUCAAGGAAAAAAUAAUUAUCUGGGAUGAGGCACCAAUGAUGCAUAGAUAUUGUUUUGAAGCUCUUGAUAAAACUUUAAGAGAUAUUCUUAGCUUCAAAGAAUCAUCUAGUUCACAAAGACCAUUUGCAUAGAUUAUGCAUAGAUGUUGUUAAUGCAACUCCUAAUUAUUUAUAUUUAUGGCCUCAUUGUCAACUAUUGAGAUUAACACAGAAUAUAAGAUUGUAAGGCAAUGAGACAGGUACACUUCAAGAUGAGCUGAGAGAUUUUUCUGAUUGGAUUUUGGGUGUUGGUGAUGGUAGAAUUGAAAGUUCAUUUGAUGGAAUUGAAAAAGUUCCUAUACCAAAUGAUCUUCUAAUUAAUGAGUCAAUUGAUCCAAUAAUAGCUAUUAUUGAAAGUACCUAUCCAGAUUUCAUCAAUCGGUGCAAUGAUCUAGGAUACCUAUAACAACGAGCCAUUCUUGAUCCAACUCUUGAUAUGGUGGAAUCAUCAAUCAAUAUAUGAUUUCCAUCAAUCAUAAUCCUGAGAAGUCAUAUUUAAGUUCAGAUAAAAUUUGCAGCUCUGAUCAUACUUAUUUAGCUUUGGAGCAUGUACAUGCACCAGAAUUUUUGGAUACUAUUAAAUGUUCUGGAGUUCCAAAUUAUGCUAUCACUUUAAAGAUUGGGGUUCCAGUGAUGUUAUUAAGAAAUAUUGAUCAGUCAGUUGGAUUGUGCAAUGGAACAAGGUUGGUUGUUACUAAACUUGAAAAUCAGGUAAUUGAAGCCAAGGUUUUAUCUAGACAGUUGGUUGGACAGAAAGUAUUUAUUCCAAGACUGACUUUAACACCAUCUGAUGUUAGAAUUUCAUUUAAAUUUCAAAGAAGACAAUUUCCAAUUACUGUAUCCUUUGCCAUGACAAUCAUAAGAGUCAAGGACAAUCUUUGUCUCACGUGAGAUUAUUUUUGAAGAAAUCAGUAUUUACUUAUGGACAAUUGUAUGUAGCAAUUUCCAGGAUAACAAGUAGAAAGGGAUUAAAGAUAUUGGUUUAUAAUGAAGAUGGAAAGAUAAUAAAUAAAGCUACAAAUGUAGUAUAUAGAGAAGUUUUCCAGAACUUAAUUUGAUACUCUCUAUCUUUUUGGAUUUUUAUAUACUACUAUUGAUUUGAAUGUGAAAGAAUCAGAAUUUUAAAAGAUCUCUACAUUAAUAAUGCAGUGUAGUACACCAAGAAAUAGAGGAUGGAUGAUAAUAUAAGAAAUAUUUUAUCAUCAUUAUACUCACAUUUAGUAGAUGUUUAUUUAAUGUUUAGUCGCGAUUGCAAUAUUUUUUUCCAUUUAAAUAUUACAGGAGAAAAGAUUGGAUAUAAUAUGCGUCAUCAAUACCAAGAGAAUGACAAAGGAAGGGCGGUUAGGUGCAUCAUGUGUAAAACUAUGUAAUACUGUGUUACUUGAAUGAGUAGAUGCUAAAUAUUAAUUAAAAUAACUAUAUUAUUAUUUGUAUUUGUUUGUAUUUGUUUACGUUAAUAUAUUUCUAUGACUACAGAGUGCACAAUUAUAUUCAGUAGAUUUAAACAUGAAUUAAUAGGCUAAUAGCAACAAAUAAGUAGCUCAAACAACAGAAGAUAUAUCAAACCAUUGUAACAGACAAAUAAAGAUCAAGUUCACAAAAACUCAUCGCAACUCUCUGUUAAAUAAAUCUUAAUUUGGUAAUUGAUAAUGUAUGAAAUUACUGACCUUAGGUGCUUAUUCGAUUAAGCUUAAAUC
rnacentral:lncRNA from 1 species